GACGAACGCUGGCGGCGUGCUUAACACAUGCAAGUCGAACGGAAAGGCCCCUUUGGGGUUCCUCGAGUGGCGAACGGGUGCGUACCACGUGAGUAACCUGCCCUUUACUUCUGGAUAACUUGAGUAAACUGGGGCUAAUACCGGAUAGGAAUCCUUGCUGCAUGGUGGGGGUUGGAAAGCUUCGGCGGUGUUGGAUGGACUCGCGGCUUAUCAGCUGGUUGGUGGGGUAGUGGCUUACCAAGGCUUUGACGGGUAGCCGGACUGUGAGGGCGACCGGCCACAUUGGGACCGAGAGGAGGCACAGACUGCUACGGGUGGCAGAAGGGGGGAAUCUUGAACAAUGGGUGGCGGGCUGAUGAAGAAAGGCCGCGGGUGGGAAGACCGUCUUGUUGUUGAAGAACGCUUUCAGCAGGGGCGAAGCUUGUGGUGACGGUACCUGAAGAAGAAGCACCGGCUAACUACGUG
rnacentral:rRNA from 1 species